CAGCCGCCGCGGGAAUACGAAGGGGGCUAGCGUUGCUCGGAAUGACUGGGCGUAAAGGGCGCGUAGGCGGAUUGUUUAGUUAGGCGUGAAAUUCCUGGGCUUAACCUGGGGACUGCGCUUAAUACAGGCAGUCUAGAGUGAGGAAGAGGGUUGUGGAAUUCCCAGUGUAGAGGUGAAAUUCGUAGAUAUUGGGAAGAACACCGGUGGCGAAGGCGGCAACCUGGUCCUUGACUGACGCUGAGGCGCAAAAGCGUGGGGAGCAAACAGGAUUAGAGACCCCGGUAGUCCCUGUCUCUUAUAC
rnacentral:rRNA from 1 species